rnacentral:lncRNA from 13 species
CUCACUUUCUUUGCUGAUUGAUCUGAGCUAUUGUCUAUUGUCCUUGAGAACUAUGAUACAAUCAUUGUGUUGUGCAGUUUUAAUAUUCAUGUUGACAUCAAGGCAAAGGGUGGCUACUUUGAAGAAUCUCAAAUAUAAAAUAUAUUUUGAUUUGUACAACUCUUUUUUUUUGUUGGUUACUACAUGAUUCCAUAUGUGUUAGUUUUGUUGUCUUCACUACUAGUUUGGAUGUCUUCACUAUUAUUCUACAAUAUAGAAAAUAUUUAAAAAAGAAAGAAAAACCCUUGAAUGAGUCGGUGUGUCCAAACGUUUGACUGGUCCUGUGUAACAAGGCAAUUCGAAAUGCCAGACGGGCUCAUUUUUCUAACUUAAUCACUAAUAAUCAGAAUAACUUGAGAGUGCUCAUCUCGGCCAUUGAUGGCCUGAUAAAUCCUAUCCCCGCAAAACCUAUGAGAACUUUCGUGCACAUCUAAAUGUGAUGAGUUUGCGGCAUAUUUCAGAGAUAAGAUAACAAACAGGUUAACAUCCCUAACACCCAGACAGAUGUCAAGAAGUUGGGAACCUCCCAGCCACCAGGAACACCAUCUUGUUCUUGGAGUUUAUUCACAAGGUCAGAUAGAAAUAGAUCCACACAUGUUAUUCUAUAUCAUGCAGAAUCGUAGCUAAGCUUAUAACUUGGGAAGCUCAUUCAAUAAUACAGACAUGGGUGAUUUCUGUCCCAGGGGAUUAAUUAAACUGUGCAAGUUUUUUGCUCAAUGUAGACCACAAUUAGUUGAAACCUGUACACUCAUUGUGUAAAGAAGCUAUGGCUGUCAUGACUUCAAUUGACUAAAUACAGUCACCAUUUUCUUUUGUUAAUUUAUGCAGGUUUGUCAUGUGAUUUCCAGGCACUUGGUGGAGAUGAAUACAACGAUAAUCCAAGGCAGGACAUUUCCCUGCAUUCAGGUGGAGCCCUGCUUCCAGAAAGGAACAUGGAGCACUCCGUGUCAAUGCUACAGAGACAUAAUAUUCAAAUGACCUCCAGAGCCCUCAGACGAACUACCCGAGAUCUCUUCAGGGCACAGAGAAAGCUGUGUGUGUCCAUACCUGUGUGUGAAGCCGGAAGACAUGGCGUUGUGCCAGAACCUGUGCUAGGCUGGUAUCGUGGAAGGUUGCUGUGCUGGCCUGCUUCCCUGGAGCCUGCUUCCCCAUGCCAAGAAUACUUGGCUCAUCCUAGCACUAGCUGCCUUCCCAGCAGCCGAGGCCAAGGCCCCACUCAGGAGGUCCGCCCAGAGGAAAGGUGUGAUGAAUGGACUACAGCUGGACCUGGCCAGGCUGGCCUACAUGAAAAAGCAGAGGUCCACAUUCACGGAAUUGGCUCAUUUAGUAGAUUGUGUGUCUGUGUGUGCAUAUAUGUGUUUGCGUGUGAGGUCCUCUAUGUGUGUAUGUGUAUGUGAGUGAUGCAUAACACAUUGUAAACUCACCAGAUAGGACCUAUUAGAGGUGAAUCUAAUGGAACCGUGCUGAUUAACAAUCUCAGGGUCCAGCUCCACCAUAUGCCAAUCUCCUCUCAUACCCGCCACAGAGAGAGCACACCAGGAAGAGAGGCUAGGGCAUCCUGGCAUCGCGCCCACAGACCGGGAACAAGUAGAAUCACUACUUCAAAUGGACAGACGACUCGCUUAGGCAACGAUAGUCGCACACUAACAUCAUACAUACAGUUGAAGUCAGAAGUUUACAUACACCUUAGCCAAAUACAUUUAAACUCAGUUUUUCACAAUUCCUGACGUUUAAUCAUAGUAAACAUUCCCUGUCUUAGGUCAGUUAGGAUCACCACUUUAUUUUAAGAAUGUGAAAUGUCAGAACAAUAGUGGAGAAUGAUUUAUUUCAGCUUUUAUUUCUUUCAUAACAUUCCCAGUGGGUCAAAAGUUUACAUACACACAAUUAGUAUUUGGUAGCAUUGCCUUUAAAUUGUUUAACUUGGGUGAAACGUUUCGGGUAGCCUUCCACCAGCUUCCCACAAUAAAUUGGGUGAAUUUUGGCCCAUUCCUCCUGACAGAGCUGGUGUAACUCAGAGCUGAGUCAGGUUUGUAGGCCUCCUUGCUCACACACACUUUUUCGGUUCUGCCCACAAAUAUUCUAUAAGAUUGAGGUCUGGGCUUUGUGAUGGCCACUCCAAUACCUUGACUUUUUGUCCUUAAGCCAUUUUGCCACAACUUUGGAACUAUGCUUGGGGUCAUUGUCCAUUUGGAAAACCCAUUUGCAACCAAGCUUUAACUUCCUGACUGAUGUCUUGAGAAGUUGCUUCAAUAUAUCCACAUCAUUUUCCCACUUCAUGAUGUCAUCUACUUUGUGAGUGCACCAGCUCCUCCUGCAGCAAAUCACCCCCACAACAUGAUGCUGCCACCCCCGUGUUUCACGGUUGGGAUGGUGUUCUUCGGCUUGCAAGCCUCCCCCUUUUUCCUCCAAACAUAAUGAUGGUCAUUGUGGCCAAACAGUUCUAUUUUUGUUUCAUCAGACCAGAGGACAUUUCUCCAAAAAGUACGAUCUUUGUCCCCAUGUGCAGUUGCAAACCGUAGUCUGGCUUUUUUUAUGUCGGUUAUGGAGCAGUGGCUUCUUCCUUGCUGAGCGGCCAUUCAUAUAUGUCGAUAUAGGACUCGUUUUACUGUGGAUAUAGUUACUUUUGUAUCCGUUUCCUCCAGCAUCUUCACAAGGUCCUUUUCUGUUGUUCUGUGAUUGAUUUGCACUUUUUGCACCAAAGUACGUUCAUCUCUAGGAGACAGAACGCAUCUCCUUCCUGAGCGGUAUGACGGCUGCAUGGUCCCAUGGUGUUUAUACUUGCAUACUAUUGUUUUUACAGAUGAACGUGGUACUUUCUGGUGUUAAGAAAUUGAACCAGACUCAUGGAGGUCUACAAUUUGUUUUCUGAGGUCUUGGCUGAUUUCUUUUGAUUUUCCCAUGAUGUCAAGCAAAGAGGAAGUUUGAAGGUAGGCCUUAAAAUACAUCCACAGGUACACCUCAAAGUGAAACAAUCUGUCUGUAAACAAUUGUUGGAAAAAUUACUUGUGUCAUGCACAAAGUAGAUGUCCGAACCGACUUGCCAAAACUAUAGUUCGUUAACAAGAAAUUUGUGAAGUGGUUGAAAAACAAGUUUUAAUGACUCCAACCUAAGUGCAUGUAAACUUCCAACUUAAAUUGUACUAAAGGUGCACGUAAAGUCUUACAGCUGAACCCUUCUGGAAAAACAUGCAUUUCACCUGAUCACAUGUGAAGUGUUCCCAAAAACACAUGUUUUUAUGUGAAGUUAAAGUGAUAACAUGUGACAACAUGUAAAGCAACAUGGGUUUGGCCGGUGUCAGCCAUCGAUGUAAAUAAAAUAACAAUUAUUUAACUGACUUGCCAAGUUCAAUAAAAGGUUAAAUAAAAAAAUGAAAUAACAAAACCACACGUGUGAAUAUGUGAUCACAUGAAGUGUUCCAAAAACACAUGUUUUCUACAUGUAAAAUCAUGUAGAUACAUAUUGUAAGGGAAUGUACAUACAUGUUGAAUGUUUCUGAAACAUGAAAACAGUCCUAUCCACUUUGGCUAUAACAGUAAAGUGAAGUGGAAUCCUUGCUAGAUUGACUCUAUCAUACUUAAUUAUGCACGCAUGCUUACACUCACACACCAUCAAACGCACACGCCAUCAAACACACAGCUCACCUAGCCUGAAGUACCCAAGAAUCCCCACCCCCUCCACCCAGAGAACCCCUGAUCCUCCAAUCAGACAUGGGCCAGAUGGCCACACAUGUUGGGCCUCACCCCUAUCACCCCCACGGUCAUGUUGCUGGAUCGACCCUGGUUAGAGCAGCACUGUCCUGGCAAAGACACUCUGCUACUGAGCCUGCUGGCUGGCUUCUGUGGCCUGCCUGUCUGGCCUGCCUACGGUCGGCCUAAGGCCCACCCAGGCCUGGCCUGAAUGCCAAUGAACUGGAAGUAGUGUCGCUGUUGGGCUGAGUGUUCGUGUGGUCUCUCUCCUCUGUAUAGAGUAGCUGGAGGAGUGUGUGUGGUCUCUUUCCUCUGUACAGAGUAGCUGGAGGAGUGUGUGGUCUUUCUCUCCUCUGUACGGAGUAGCUGGAGGAGUGUGUGGUUUUCUCUCCUCUGUACGGAGUAUCUGGAGGAGUGUGUGGUUUUCUCUCCUCUGUACGGAGUAGCUGGAAGAGUGUGUGGUCUCUCCUCUGUAUGGAGUAGCUGGAGGAGUGUGUGGUCUCUCCUCUGUACGGAGUAGCUGGAGGAGUGUGUGGUUUUCUCUCCUCUGUACGGAGUAGCUGGAGGAGUGUGUGGUCUUUCUCUCCUCUGUACGGAGUAGCUGGAGGAGUGUGUGGUCUCUCCUCUGUACGGAGUAGCUGGAGGAGUGUGUGGUCUUUCUCUCCUCUGGAGGAGUAGUGAAGGGGAAAUAUUUUGCUGGGAGCAAUAACGGUGAGGACUGAUUAUUAAUCAAUUACGGCCACUUUGCCCGGGGCUUGGCGUUGGAG